AGUGAACGCUGGCGGUAGGCCUAACACAUGCAAGUCGAACGGCAGCACAGUAAGAGCUUGCUCUUACGGGUGGCGAGUGGCGGACGGGUGAGGAAUACAUCGGAAUCUACUUUUUCGUGGGGGAUAACUUAGGGAAACUUACGCUACUACCGCAUACGACCUACGGGUGAAAGCAGGUGAUCUUCGUACCUUGCGCGAUUGAAUGAGCCGAUGUCGGAUUAGCUAGUUGGCGGGGUAAAGGCCCACCAAGGCGACGAUCCGUAGCUGGUCUGAGAGGAUGAUCAGCCACACGGGAACUGAGACACGGCCCAGACUCCUACGGGAGGCAGCAGUGGGGAAUAUUGGAAAAGGGGAGCAAGCCUGAGCCAGCCAUACCGCGUGGGUGAAGAAGGCCUUCGGGUUGUAAAGCCCUUUUGUGGGGAAAGAAAAGCAGCAGGUUAAUACCCCGCUGUUCUGACGGUACCCAAAGAAUAAGCACCGGCUAACUUCGU
rnacentral:rRNA from 1 species